GUCGUAGUGUGAGGUGUAUAUGUGGUCGAUGCGGGAGUAUGAGUUGUGUGGGUGGGAAUAGAAAGUGAAGUCUCGGGCGUCUGGGUGGUGGGCCCUCCAGCAGUCGACCAGUCGGUGGUCCCGGAGUAGGGAUUUGAUGCCUUGCAGUUGUUGGUUGGGGAUAUGCGAGGUGCCCGUUGAGGUGUCCCAUGUCGGUUCUAAUGCGACAUUAAAGUCCCCCCCCAGUAUGAGAGUCCCCUCUUUGAACGCCUGGAGCUUGUGGAGUGUUUGUUUGAGGAAGCGGUAGUGUCGUGUGUUUGGG